GGCGUAGGCGGCUUGUCAAGUCGGAUGUGAAAUCUCCUGGCUCAACUGGGAGGGUGCAUUCGAUACUAGCGAGCUGGAGUGCAGCAGAGGGAGGUGGAAUUCCCGGUGUAGUGGUGAAAUGCGUAGAUAUCGGGAAGAACACUAGUGGCGAAGGCGGCCUCCUGGGCUGUAACUGACGCUGAGGUCCGAAGGCGUGGGGAGCAAACAGGAUUAGAUACCCUGGUAGUCCACGCAGUAAACGAUGGAUACUAGGUAUGGGGAGUAUCGACCCUCUCUGUGCCGAAGCUAACGCUUUAAGUAUCCCGCCUGGGGACUACGGUCGCAAGACUAAA
rnacentral:rRNA from 1 species